rnacentral:rRNA from 1 species
AACGCGAAGAACCUUACCUGGGCUCGAACGGCUCACGAAAGUCUUUGGAAACAGAGAUUUCCCGCAAGGGACGGGAGUCGAGGUGCUGCAUGGCUGUCGUCAGCUCGUGUCGUGAGAUGUUGGGUUAAGUCCCGCAACGAGCGCAACCCUUGUCCUGUGUUGCCAUACCGAAAGGUGGAACUCGCAGGAGACCGCCAGCGAUAAGCUGGAGGAAGGUGGGGAUGACGUCAAGUCCUCAUGGCCUUUAUGUCCAGGGCUACACACGUGCUACAAUGGACGGUACAAAGGGUCGCUAACCCGCGAGGGGGAGCCAAUCCCAAAAAACCGUUCUCAGUUCGGAUUGCAGGCUGCAACCCGCCUGCAUGAAGCUGGAAUCGCUAGUAAUGGCAGAUCAGCACGCUGCCGUGAAUACGUUCCCGGGCCUUGUACACACCGCGCAUA